UCCUAGCUGGUGUAGUGGUAACAUUUCGAGCUCUCACCUCGGCGCCACGGGUUCGAUUCCCGUGCUGGGAA